AGGAAAGCAGGGGAUCGCAAGACCUUGCGCUCUUGGAGCGGCCGAUGUCUGAUUGGCUAGUUGGUGAGGUAAAGGCUUACCAAGGCGACGAUCAGUAGCUGGUCUGAGAGGACGACCAGCCACACUGGGACUGAGACACGGCCCAGACUCCUACGGGAGGCAGCAGUGGGGAAUUUUGGACAAUGGGGGAAACCCUGAUCCAGCCAUGCCGCGUGAGUGAAGAAGGCCUUCGGGUUGUAAAGCUCUUUCAGCCGGAACGAAACGGUCACGGCUAAUACCUGUGAUCACUGACGGUACCGGAAGAAGAAGCACCGGCUAACUACGUGCCAGCAGCCGCGGUAAUACGUAGGGUGCAAGCGUUAAUCGGAAUUACUGGGCGUAAAGCGUGCGCAGGCGGUUUUGUAAGUCAGAUGUGAAAUCCCCGGGCUUAACCUGGGGAACUGCGUUUGAAACUACAAGGCU
rnacentral:rRNA from 1 species